rnacentral:lncRNA from 1 species
GCAGCGGGGUGGCCGCCUCGAGCCCCCACCUGCCGGGGGGGCACCAAGCAGAGAGUGGGCUGCAGCUGGAAAACAGGGCAGGGGGAGAAGGGCCCCGCGACAGAGCAGCUCCACGGGGCUGGAAAAGCAGAUUUGAGAUGCUGCGUGGAGCUACGAGUCUUGAGGUUUUGGGUUUGCUUUGUGUUUUUUUUUUUUUUUUUUUUUUUUUAGUUCUCAUUUGUUUUUCUAAGAAAAAGCAACCAGAAAAUAAUUCGGAGUUUAUACAAAACAUCUUUACAUUAUUUCUCCCAAAAAAGACUAGUAUUUACACAAACAGAACAAAACAAAACAACGAAAAAAAAAAAAAAAAGAACUUCAACGCUUCCAAUGAAAAGAACAGAAGGGACACUCAGUUUCAGGACCCAGCAGACCGAGGUGCUCAGCAAAAAUCAAGAGUUCCGAUUUCACCCUUUCUGCACAUAUUUACAAGUGUUUUUUUUUUUUUUUCAGCUGCCCGCCUCAGAAGGAGCUGGGCUGCCCGGGGCCAGCGGCCACCCCGGAGCGCCAGCAGGGCCAGCCACGAGGACUCGCUGCUUGGCUUUUGGCACGCUGCGUGGCCAGAUCCUCAGCAAAUCAACCCAAAACCUGCCGCGCCCCCCCCUGCCCCAGCCUCGCCAGGUGAAACUCCUGCACCGAACCCUCCCCAGCUCCUGCCCGCUGGGCUCUGCUCCCCUGGGGACCUCCAGGUCGGAAUUUGGGGGGGAUUUUUUUUUUUUUAAGACACAAUUUGAUGGAGAGCAGACCCCGUCCCCUUUGGCAGCGCCGGCACAGCGCAGCACCUGCAUAGACGCCCCGAGGGGAAGGCAAGGGGCUGGGGGGGGAGGAGGGGAUCCAAAAGGUGCUGGGGGGGAGCGGGGAGAAGGGCUGGGCAGGGCAGCCCCCAGUCCCAGCUCCCCCCUGCCGCAGGCAGUGACCGCGUU